AAUUCCUCUGAGUUCAUUUGUAGAGAUAAUUACAUUAUGAGCCAUUUUUAUGACUUAUAUUUACACAGUGGUUACUUAAGAUUCCUGACACACUUUUCAACUAAAACCAUGCUAAACAUAUUUGCUGCCCCUAAUUCCAACUAAAUCAUUUAAAGUAAGUGUUACUUAAGGCAACAGCUAGUUGUCACUGACUUUUUUUGGAAGACUGUGCGGCGCUCGGAUAUGUCACUUCCAUACCGAGCCAGUCUCCCUUCCUAGAACAUUUCUGCCAUGCCUUGAGAUCAUUAGGGGUACAACUCCAGUAUCUGACCCGUUUGUACAGGGAUGACUUAGUCCCUUCUUGAAAGGUAGAUCCAUGAUCAGCGACAAAUACCCCGAACAUAUUUUGGUUUGUUCUUCCUUAUACAAAGGGUUUAACCAACCUUGGUCCUACACACCCCUUCCCUGAAGCACGAC
rnacentral:lncRNA from 1 species